rnacentral:tRNA from 1 species
CCCCUCGUAGCCCAACCGGUAGAGGCGGCGAACUUAAAAUUCGCACAGUGCGGGUUCGAAUCCCGCCGGGGGGA